GAUGAACGCUAGCGGCAGGCCUAACACAUGCAAGUCGAGGGAGAAGCCCUUUCGGGGGCAGAAACCGGCGCACGGGUGCGUAACGCGUAUGCAACCUACCUUUCACAGGGGGAUAGCCCGAAGAAAUUUGGAUUAAUACCCCAUAAUAUUAUUGGAUGGCAUCAUUUGAUAAUUAAAACUGCGGUGGUGAACGAUGGGCAUGCGUCCUAUUAGCUAGUUGGAGUGGUAACGGCACCCCAAGGCUACGAUAGGUAGGGGUCCUGAGAGGGAGAUCCCCCACACUGGUACUGAGACAGGGACCAGACUCCUACGGGAGGCAGCAGUGAGGAAGAUUGGUCAAUGGUCGGAAGACUGAACCAGCCAUGCCGCGUGCAAGAAGAAUGCCUUAUGGGUUGUAAACUGCUUUUAUAUGGGAAGAAUAAGGUGUACGUGUACAUUGAUGACGGUACCAUAUGAAUAAGCAUCGGCUAACUCCGUG
rnacentral:rRNA from 1 species